rnacentral:rRNA from 1 species
UGAAGCUACUAAGAGCGUAUGGUGGAUGCCUUGGCAUCGAGAGGCGAUGAAAGACGUUGUAGCCUGCGAUAAGCUACGGGGAGCUGGCAAACAAGCUUCGAUCCGUAGAUUUCUGAAUGGGGAAACCCGGCCAUUUAUGGUCAUUCAUAUCUGAAUGCAUAGGAUAUGAAAGCGAACCUGGUGAACUGAAACAUCUAAGUA